GGCGUGAAAGCGUAACAGACAGACAGACAGACGGACAGACACAGUUACUUUCGCAUUUAUAAUAUUAGUUAGGAUUAGGAUUAGGAUUUAUAAUAUUAGUUAGGAUUAUAAAGUUAGGAUUUUCUCUCCCACAGUUCCGGAUCCCUACUGCUUCGCGCGCCUGAAUACUUCAAAUUGCGGAAAGAAGACCACCUCCGUGUUUUACUACUAUAAACCAAGAUCUAGGUGUGAGAUAGGCUUCUGGAGAGGGUGUCCCACGGAUAAUAUUUUCAGUAACGAAUAUGAGUGUUCCAAUCGAUGUGUUGGAUGGCUGAUUCAGAGAGAUGGAAAGGGUACUGGUAAAAAUAAGCGCCCUGGCAUUGGCGAUGGAAAAAUUACUGAACCAUACAAACCACAUUGGUGUCAAGAGGCUUUAAAUCAGGAGCAAUGUCAUAAAAAUGAAACAGUUUAUACAUACGAUUGGAACUCAAAAUCAUGUAUGAGUAAAAACUGGUACGGAUGUCCCUGUGACAAUAAAUUUAGAACUUUGUUACAGUGCAAGCAAAUCUGCAGUUAUGGUGUCAAUAGAUUGAAAUCAAUUGAAUCUAUAAAUGAUGAAAUAAAACAAGACAAAAGGAUAUUAACAGCUUUGAGGGGGAUAAUAACUACUCCUUUGCCAACAACAACACCGUUACUGGAGCGACCCAGAACGACUUUAGGACCAACUACAACAAUAACAGAACCAACUACAAAGAUAUUAGAAACAAUUACAACUAUAGAAAACUCCACUACAACGACAGAAAAACCAACUGAACCUAGUACAAAAACAGUAAAAACAAGUACAACUAUAGAAAAACCCUCUAUAACUACAGAAAAAUCCACUACAACAUCAGAAAAACCCACAACAACAACGGUAACAAGUACAACUGUAGAACAACCCCCUACAACUACAGAAAAAUCCACUACAACAACAGAAAAACCCACAACAACAACGGUAACAAGUACAACUGUAGAACAACCCUGUACAACUACAGAAAAAUCCACUACAACAACAGAAAAACCCACAACAACAACGGUAGAAACCACUACAACAACGAAAGAAACCACUGCAGCGCCUGUAGCUAAGAAUAGAAAAACUCCGAGACCUCCCCGGAAAUCACCUAAUAAAACGGAAAGCCAAGGCGGUGUGGAAGUCAUAUCGUAAAUAAAUAUAAUAAUAAAUAAAUAGCCAUUAUUA